UACGAAGGGGGCUAGCGUUGCUCGGAAUUACUGGGCGUAAAGCGCACGUAGGCGGCUUCUUAAGUCGGAGGUGAAAUCCUGGAGCUCAACUCCAGAACUGCCUUCGAUACUGGGAAGCUCGAGUCCGGGAGAGGUGAGUGGAACUGCGAGUGUAGAGGUGAAAUUCGUAGAUAUUCGCAAGAACACCAGUGGCGAAGGCGGCUCACUGGCCCGUAACUGACGCUGAGGCACGAAAGCGUGGGGAGCAAACAGG
rnacentral:rRNA from 1 species